GUGCCUGCUAAAACAUGUUUAUAUGUGUUUUUGCAGCUAUAUGAUUUUCACGUGUACUAAAACAUGUUUCUAUACCUUUCUUUGCCACCGUAAUGUUACUGCGCCUCCUCAAACAUGUUUCUAUGCCUUUUUGUGGUGCAGCUAUAUGACAGUAAUGUUUUCUAUGCAUUUGAUUUUGAUUUUUAUAUUUGAAAGUAAUAAAUUUUGAAUUGUGUUUUAAUGCCUUUUUCAUGCGUACAAGGUGAUUCAGACCUGUAUGGGUUUUUAUGCGAGUUUUUAUACAUAUCAAACAUGAAAACAUGACAAGUGAAUAGCUUUAAAAUUACCCAUCAUUUAUGAACUAUAUGAGACAAUGAUUUUUUAUUGGAACAAAUUUCUAUGCAAUAUCGGAGUAUAUUUCUAUAUAUUAUUAGAGCAUAUUUCUAUACGUUAUUUGUUGGCUUCUUUCUAUGCAUUGUUUGAACACUUUGACAUAGAUUCUUGGAAAAAUUAUCUGUAUACUUCUACAUAAUUAUAUACUUUUCUGGUACAUAAUUAUAUACAUUUUUUAGGUUGGGGUCGUCAUGAUGAUGGUACAAUAGUCCCCUAGAAGGGAGGUUAUUUUUGGAUUCUAUGCGUUGUUCCUCUAUUAUUUAUUAGUGCCUAAAGUGACAAUAAUGGUUUAGUUUAGGAUUGUCACGAUUUUGGAUCUCCCACAUGGCAAAGUUUUAUUAGGUAUUUUAAAUUAUUCGUGCCUGCUAAGACAUGUUUAUAUGUGUUUCUUGUAGCUAUAAGGUUUUUGCGCUUACUAAAACAUGUUUCUAUACCUUUCUUUGCCACCGUAAGUUUUUUACGCUUGCUCAAAUAUGUUUCUAUGUCUUUGUUGUGGUGUAGGAUGGUUGGAAGAAUUCCUCUAUUUUUGGUGUGAGGUCAAUGGUGGCUCGGACAUCAUAGGACAUGACUUGCGACGUUCACAACUUCCUUGGCUUGUGACGGUGGCGUAGUGUGAUAUUCGAUAUAGUUGAUGGGUUAAUGUAAAAAGUUAGUUUUCCAUAUGUUGUGUUUAUAUGCUUGGAUGAUAUGAGCGAAACUAUUGAUUUCUAUGUAACCUCUGUUGGGUUUCAAUAUUUGGUUAACUGAGUGUCUAUGCAUGUUGUGAGUUGGGAACAUUAUGGAUAGUCUAUGUAGUGUUUUGUAUGUUUCAUUCCCUUAAAAGGAAGUAUGGUGUAAAGUUUCUAUACAUUGUUGUUCAAUUAAAUAAACAUAUCCUCG
rnacentral:lncRNA from 1 species